rnacentral:rRNA from 1 species
AUUGAACGCUGCGGCAGGCUUAACCCAUGCAAGUCGAGCGAGCGGCGGACGGGUGAGUAAUGCUUAGGAAUCUGCCUAUUAGUGGGGGACAACAUCUCGAAAGGGAUGCUAAUCCCGCAUACUACUAGCUGCGCCUAAUUCGGAUUAGCUCGGUGGUGGGGUAAAGGCCUACCAAGGCGACGAUCUGUAGCGGGUCUGGGAUGAUGAUCCGCCACACUGGGACUUGUACACGGCCCAGGCUCCUACGGGAUGCAGCAGUGGGGAAUAUUGGACAAUGGGGGGAACCCUGAUCCAGCCAUGCCGCGUGUGUGAAGAAGGCCUUAUGGUUGUAAAGCACUUUAAGCGAGGAGGCGUUACUCGCAGAAUAAGCACCGGCUAACUCUGUGCCAGCAGCCGCGGUAAUAC